rnacentral:rRNA from 1 species
CAAUAGCGUAUGCUAAAGUUGCUGCAGUUAAAAAGCUCGUAGUUGAAUUUCGGGCGUGCGCCCCUGGUCUGUCGAAAGACGUGCACUGGUGGCGACCGCCUUUUGCCACAGCGCUAUCUCUGCUCUUCACCGGGCGGGGAUUGAACUGUGGCCGUUUACUUUGAAGAAAUUAGAGUGUUCAAAGCAGGCUUAUGCACGUGAAUACUUCAGCAUUGAAUAAUGGAAUAGGACUGCGGUUCUAUUUUGUUGGUUUCUAGGACCGGAGUAAUGAUUAAUAGGGAUAGUUGGGGGCAUUAGUAUUUCUUAGCUAGAGGUGAAAUUCAUAGAUUUAAGAAAGACUAACUUCUGCGAAAGCAUUUGCCAAGGAUGUUUUCAUUAA